UACAGAGGGGGCAAGCGUUGUUCGGAAUUACUGGGCGUAAAGGGCGCGUAGGCGGCCUUCUAAGUCGAACGUGAAAUCCCCGGGCUCAACCCGGGAACUGCGUCCGAUACUGGAAGGCUUGAAUCCGGGAGAGGGAUGCGGAAUUCCAGGUGUAGCGGUGAAAUGCGUAGAUAUCUGGAGGAACACCGGUGGCGAAGGCGGCAUCCUGGACCGGCAUUGACGCUGAGGCGCGAAAGCCAGGGGAGCAAAGCGGGAUUAAGAA
rnacentral:rRNA from 1 species